ACAUGGAGGGUUUGAUCCUGGCUCAGGGUGAACGCUGGCGGCGUGCCUUACACAUGCAAGUCGAGCGAAGC
rnacentral:rRNA from 1 species